rnacentral:sRNA from 1 species
GUGCAUUAGUGCGGGUAUGAUCACAUCCGUUACUACAUGCAAUGCAAUCGUAUAUAUUUUUUUUGAAGACUUUAUGAUCCAUUUGCCGUGGGUCUCACCAGCUAUGUAGGAAUACCCUAUCUUGUUUGUAAGAGCUUUGAUACAUGCAAAAUAUUCGAAAACAAUGUCAGAACGUAUGCUUUUUGCCCCGUAAUAUAGCAUAGAUCAUGAAAAGGCCAGAAAAAGUACAUUAAGGUCAAAAUUUUGAGUAGAAAAAAAAACAAUAGAAAAAUUCCAUUGUCCUUCCUCAUUCAUCGGAGAGUUCUCUUUGGGCUUUCCGAAAAGGUAUCACAUGCCAAGUUUGGCCUCACGGUCUAAAACUUAUAGAAUCAUACAUUCUUAACAAAAAAAAAAGAGAAAAACCGAAAAAAAGAAGAAUGCAACACAAGGACUUUCCAUGAGGUCAACCAUCCUAGUACUACUCUCGCCCAAUCACGCUUAACUGCAGAGUUUUGAUGGGAUCCGGUGCAUUAGUGCUGGUAUGAUCGCAUCUGUUACUACAUGCAAUGCAAUCGUAUCUAUUCUUUUUUGAAGACUUUAUGAUCCAUUUGUCGUGGGUCCCACCAACUAUGUAAGAAUACCCUAUCUUGUUUAUAAGAGCUUUGAUACAUGCAAAAUAUUCGAAAACAAUGUCAGAACGUAUGCUUUUUGCCCCGUAAUAUAGCAUAGAUCAUGAAAAGGCCAGAAAAAGUACAUUAAGGUCAAAAUUUUGAGUAGAAAAAAAAACAAUAGAAAAAUUCCAUUGUCCUUCCUCAUUCAUCGGAGAGUUCUCUUUGGGCUUUCCGAAAAGGUAUCACAUGCCAAGUUUGGCCUCACGGUCUAAAAUUUAUAGAGUCAUACAUUUUUAACAAAAAAAAAAGAGAAAAACCGAAAAAAGAGGGAUGGAACACAAGGACUUUCCGGGAGGUCACCCAUUCUAGUACUACUCUCACCCAAGCGCGCUUAACUGUGGAGUUCUGAUGGGAUCCAGUGCAUUAGUGAUGGUAUGAUCGCAUCCGUUACUACAUGCAAUGCAAUAAUAUCUU